AUUGAACGCUGGCGGCAUGCCUUACACAUGCAAGUCGAACGGCAGCACGGGUGCUUGCACCUGGUGGCGAGUGGCGAACGGGUGAGUAAUACAUCGGAACGUACCUUAUCGUGGGGGAUAACGCAGCGAAAGCUGUGCUAAUACCGCAUACGCCCUGAGGGGGAAAGCGGGGGAUCGAAAGACCUCGCGCGAUUAGAGCGGCCGAUGCCUGAUUAGCUUGUUGGUGGGGUAAAAGCCCACCAAGGCGACGAUCAGUAGCCGGCCUGAGAGGGCGACCGGCCACACUGGGACUGAGACACGGCCCAGACUCCUACGGGAGGCAGCAGUGGGGAAUUUUGGACAAUGGGCGCAAGCCUGAUCCAGCCAUGCCGCGUGCGGGAAGAAGGGCCUUCGGGUUGUAACGCUUUGUCAGGGAAGAAACGCUCUGGGCUAAUACCCUGGGGUAAUGACGGUACCUGAAGAAUGAGCACCGGCUAACUACGUGCCAGCAGCCG
rnacentral:rRNA from 1 species